rnacentral:lncRNA from 1 species
GGCCCAGGGUUCAGAUCCUGGGCGUGGACAUGGCACUGCUCGUCAGGUCACGUUGAGGUGGCGUCCCACAUCCCACAACUAGAAGGACCUGCAACUAAGAUAUACAACUAUGCCGGAGACAGAAUCUGCCUGUCUUUCGAAAUCCUCUCCCAAAGAACACCUGCCUGGAACAGGGCAGAAGCAGAGACGUCCCUUCUGAUGGCUCAUCGCCCCAGCUGCGCAUGCGCCCAGUGCUGCGUCGUCUCCUGCUUCGGUCCUGGCCUCAGUUUCUCCACCGUGUCCUUCCUUCAUCCCCAGCCAGGACGCACUCUGUCUAGCUAUGCGAACCAGCUGAACCAGCUCUCUUUCUGUGGUUGCUACAGCAAAUUACUGCUAACUUAGUGGUUUAACACAAUACAAAUUUAUUCUCCUACAGUUCUGGGAGUCAGAAGUCCGAAAUGACUCUUAUGAGGCUAACAUCAAGCUAUUAAUCGCUUCCAGUUGAAGAUUAGGAGCAAGCUCCUCAAGUGGUCAGUUAAAUGGGUUUUGAAAUAUGGAAAUUUUCUCUCCACUAGCAUUGAAGUCCAAAAAAUGCUGCUGGACCUGCAUCUUGAACUCAGAAAAUACAUCCACUGCAAAUUUGUGUGGAAAUGGAGAUCUCACCUCUUGUUUUACCUUUUGACACCACUGGAAGUGUGUAAGGCAGCUUGACGUUCCAACCAUGUUAGUUGUCGAAAUGACUUUACAGCAGUGUAACUUUCUCAUAUGAGCACUGUUUGGCCUUGUUAUUUUAGGUUGGAUUCAUCAAAAUACAAGCGUGCAGCAAAAACUCAUUUCCAAAGCCAUUCAGUGUUCACUAGUAGUGGUUGAAGGCAGUUCUUCUCAUUUAAAAAAAAUUCAAUCUGAGCCCCAAGCUCAAAAAAUCACUGUAAAA